AUCCCGCUGGGACAGCUCGGUCCCCAUGGCUGCAGCUCCCCAGGAGGGACCCCUCCCUCACCCCAGGGCACUGCGCUCCCUCCCCAGCCCGCUGGGACAUGAAGAGUAUUUCUCUGUCCAACAUUUCUGCUGCUCAGGCAGGCUGAGGAGCACCCCUUGCCUUUUCCCCAGGCCUCCUGGGCACAGGGAGGGGUGGGAUGAGAGCUUCACCCAGCCUGCCUGCUGGCUGUAUUGCUCCUAGCAAAUCCCAAGGGCCCACGGAGCCUCGGAGAGGUUGAUCCAGCAGCUUGGAGAAGUUUGGGACAAGCACUACAUUCAGGGCAAUUCCUUGGCAUCACCUCCAGUUCCAGGAUCAGUGUGGAGGUUUAGCCCUGUUGCAUUGCUGCUUCUGAAGGGCCGGAGCUCCAUGGUGCUGCCUGUGUCUCUGCACAUGGCCCUGGGUGAUGAGCUCCAGACAUGGGAUAAGGAGGAGGAACCACAGCCAAGUCUUAGACAGGUAAGUCAGAGAAGGGGGGAACAAAGAAGCUGGUUGGUGCCUCUCCUGUGCAAUGGUGUGGAGCCAGAGACAGCUGCUGCCUGCUUGUUCCAUCUGUUCUGAGGCCCAUGACUGCCAGGGCUGACUUUUUGGGUGAGGGGACAUUUAGGUGUGCAGGAGCUCCCAGGGGAACCUCAAACCAGCUUUGCCUUUGGGGAGAUAAACCCAGAUGCAGAGAACACUGGGAAAUCCCUGCCUCGAGUAAGCCUUUUGUGACAUCUGUGUCAGCCUGGCACGUGGCAGAGGGGGUGCUGGGAAAGUGAGGACUUCCCUGCAGGAGCACUGGAGAGCUCGGUCCUCUCCUGCUGUUCAGACCAUGCUGGGGACUGCUCUGUCAGUCAUGGGUGGAAAUGGUCCCUGGAAUUUGUUGUCAGUGCCCCAGUGCAGGGCAAACUGCAUUCAAGAGUCCCACGCUGUGUCUUGCAGUGAGAGGAGCCUUUGGUGUCUCUGCUGGUUCAGUCCCUGCCCUGCCUGACACUCCAGAUCAUAGUCCCAGUGUUCCCAGACUUUGCCAACAGCCUGGCAGAAAUUAAUGUAAAAAAGAGCAAACCAGCUAUUGGGGACUAGCUUGGAAAUGUGUAAGAGCCUCCGGGUGUCUGUGCGUGGUGUCCUGCUUUUAUGUAGAGCCUUUUAGGGUUGUUCUGGAGGCAAUUCCAGAACACAGCUUUCUUUGUCAUCCCUCAGUCCCUGCUGACUGAUCCAUGCGCUGCUGAAGGCAAAAAGAGAGGGGGGAAAUGCCUCCAGGACUGCAGAGGAGGCAAACCACAGGGAAUGUGGCAUGAGCAGGGCAUGCAGCCUGGAGCUGGUGGCUCUGCAGCACCAGGCUGUUUGCAAAAUCAAUUGGAAUUGGGAAAGCCAAACAGGGCGGGGAGGGAGCAGCUGGCAGAGGGCAGAGCCUGAAUGAAGAGGAGUCAGAAACUUUCCCGUUAGUUUGUCACUGAUCCCGAAGCAAAGCUGCAGCUGCUGUGAUCCUUACCCUUGCUGGGUUCCUCCCAUGCUGGUGACCCCCAUGGUCACCCUUCAGCUGCAGCUGUGCCAGAAGAGCCCCAGGAACCCAGGCAGGAUGGUGGGAAGUCACUGCUUGGGGUGGGACAGGGCUGAUCCAGAGCCCUUCCCUUCCUCCCAGGCCCAUCAUGGCAGGGACAGGGACAGAGCAGCAGCUCAGGGUAUCUGGGGAGGGCACCCCUUCACCUUUUCAAAAUCAAACAGUGCUGGUGCUCCUCAGGCUUAUUUCAAACGUGUGCUCACAUCAGCUGUGUUGGGGCAGUGCCCUCCCUGCAGAGGAGGGGAGAUGGGCUGUGGGUGUUCCCAGCCAGCUCCAUUCCACAGGCAGAAGGAUCCAGGCCCCUUAACAGCCCCUGCUGUGCUUUUUGCAGGUUCCUGAUGGUGGGAAUUAAGCACAAGCUCCACUGCUCUGCAGGGUGAAGCCCAAGGGUGGCUGUGGUGUUCAGACCCCAGAGGUUUUGGUCAUGGAAGAGGCCAGCCUGACCUUCCCACAUGUGAGUUUAUUGUGCUGUUGGAGUCUCUGGUGUUUUCUUCCCCUCCCUAGAGCCAUUCCAAGGUAAGUGGUUGUUUGACCUUCUGGCUUCACAAAAUAGAUUUGCCACCUCUGGAAAAGAAACCCUCAACAGCUGAUUCUACUUUCAGCCCAGCAUUAUCUGCCCUCCCCUCUUGCAGCCCUUUAGUGCUGAGUGCUCCCAGUGGAGACACAAGUUUAAUGCUGAACAGGAAUUUGGGGUAGAGCAGCAUCAGUCAGAUGCUGAAGGGAAACAGGAGCUUGGUUUCCACAAAUGGUGAUAAAACACUGGUGAUAAAACUCUGUGUGAUCAGGUUUAUGGCAGCCACAUACAAGGAGAGUUGGAUGUGGAGGAUUUCUCACUGCUAAUGGCAGUGGCUUUUAUUUUAAGCCUGUUCACUUUUUUUUUUUACAUUAAAAAUUUUAUUACAAAAAAAGGUAACAGUAAGGCAGUUGUCAGUCACUGUGAGCCCAGACAGUUUUCAAUCAUGUUUAAUACAAAACUAGAUUCACACAGGAGCCACGAUGGGGAUCCAACAGCCCUCUGAGAAAUGAUGGGAUAAGGCAGAAGCAGCAGCACCAGUGUAAUCCCUUACACAGUCAGCAUUGGAUACAUGGACACCACUGCAGUGGAGGGAGAGGAAAAAAGGAUUGUCUGCAGUUUAAAAAUCUAAGCCAACUCUGUUGUCAUAAUCUGGAACAUUCCUGAUGUGUCCCAGCAGACUGGAGAUUUAAUUUUGAGAGAUUUCUUUUUUUUCUCCUUUAACCAAGUAAAAUUUUCUACUGUCAAAAGUAAAAAAUUCUUUCUGGAAGAAUUAUCUGUGAGUGGUUCACUGCUUUAAAAAGUCGUGCACCAGAACAUUUGUACUCCCCAAGCAAUGCCUGAGACUGAUGCUGUUUAACACUGCAAGCACUCACUGCUAUUGAGGUGAGGGAGGGAACUGCUGAACAAAAUUUCCCAACUCUGGCUUUUUUUCAUGCUUUGGUGAAUGUUGAACAGAAAUGGGACACCAAGAGCAAAUGCAGGUGUUUUCCACACCUGUUCCUGAUGGCAGUACAGGGAUUUUGUUUUGUGCUCCUUUACUAGGUAGGACUGGCUGUCCUACCAGCAUUUCUGGAUGCCCCAAAGGCAGGAUUCCCAACUGUUCCCACUGUUCCUUGUCCCCUGUGCUUGCAGGGACAUGGUGGGAGGUACUGCAGCCAUGGUUACCUUUUUGGAGCUUAACAAACUAAGAGAAGGGAAAGGGAAAAGAGAGAACCAUGGAUAGGAAGAGCAACAGAUGAAAAAGUGAGAAAACUCAGGUAAGCACAAAUCUUGCAGGUCUGGGUUUUUUUUUUAAUUAUUACAAAUUGGUGCUCACAGAUCAGCUCUGCUAAUUCAGUUCUGGGGUGAAUUUAUUUAGAUCAGCUCCUGCUCUUGGUAAAUGAGCAGGACAAAUAGGAGGUGGGACUGUGCAGACUUUGUGUUCUCACUUCAUGGAUGGACCUUGUUUUCCAGCUGCCAAAAGCCAGGCAAAAUUCAGGGAGGUGCAGGGCUAAGGAGGGGCAGUUCUGUGGGUCCCACUGCUACCAGGCUCAGUAGAAAUCUAACAAUUCUUUUCCAGCAAAGACCUUUUAAAGUGUCUUCUGAAAGUAUGCAGUUCCUCCAACUAUAGUACCUUAAACUGCAUUCCCAGUAAUCCAGAGGUAUUUCUAGCACAUUUAACAAUAGGUUUUGUACGUUUUGGCUCAACUGUCAAGAUUUUAUUGAGGCAGAAAAUCCAAUUAACCAAAAUUGGAAUUUUUCCCUUGGUAAAGACUUCAGGCUUGACCCCUAAAUCAGUAAAAUCAUCAUCAUCCAGAAAAUUGGACUGUUUAGGUAGAGGCAGGUGCAGCUUCCUUUGACUUUUGUCCUCAUGCUAGUGAGAUAUUUGGAUAUUUUGCUAAAAAUCCUGCUGUGGAAGGGAAAGGGUUCAGGAAAGUGAGCCUGCAUCUAAAAAAGGUUCAGGACUAUAAAUAGGCUAAGAGUUUCUCCUGAAACCUCAAGAGCUGGGAGGAGGAUGAGGGCAGGUAGCAUUCUGUGAGGACUCUGUGUUACCUCAGCACCUGAAGUCUCAGAACCAAUUUGAAAUUCCAGUGUCCUAAGGCACGACAAUUUUGAUUAAUGAAGAUGGGAACAUCCCCAUCCCUGCUGCCCGAGGAGCAGAGGGAAGAGCUGGCUGCCAGGACAGAACAAAAGCAGCAUUUGUUCUUGUGGACAAACAUUGCAGAAGAGGAGGGGAGAUGGGCUGUGGGUGUUCCCAGGCUGCUCUGACACUGUGGAAGCAUCCUGACUCUGCCUGUGGAACUGCUGGCUCAUGUGGCCAAGGUUAAGAGCCAAAUUCCCCACAAAGGCUGAGAAGGAAGACAAGUUUAAAAAGUGGGGCUUUUGUGAAAGUGGAAAACCAGGCUAAAACAUGCUAACAACCUGUUUUCCAGCACAGUAAGCCUGCAGUGGUCAGGCACUCUAGGAAAGCAAAGAGUCAAGUGUCUGGGAAGUGAGGAAUAGGAAUGGGUUUAAUUCAGCAUUCCUUGGAAGGGAGCCCUCCCAGGCAAUGAUCCUGCCCUAAGCCUGGCAGAUGUGAGGAAGACUCCAGACAACCCCAGGCUGCCCACACUGCUCAGAGGGAUGAUGGUGACAGGAACACCACACACAACACCACUGUAAGUUGUGGCCCUCAUCUGUAUUUAUCUGUAUUUUGUCCUUUUUUUUUUCAUUAAUACUUGUCGACCUCGAUAUUUUCUGUUGAUAAACCUCGGGGGGGAUUUGGAGGGAACCAAAAGCACGUUUGUCCUGUCCACAGCUGAGCUGGGCGGGGUGAACCUGUAGUGGAGUGUUUGUUAGUCACUGUAAACUGGCAGGGUGUGCAUUCCCCACACCCUGAGCACCCAGGAGCCCAGGCUGCCUCAUUCCAGCUCCGACAGCGUGCACGGCCGGCGGAACUCCUGCCCCCGCUCGUGGAGCCACUUAUUGGAGACUGCAAAGACACAAAGGUACUGCAUCACUGCCCGUGCUCACCUCCUCUCUGCUGAGGCUAAAUAUGCUCUAGGCAAGCUCUUGGUUAAGCACAGGAUCAUCUUAAUUUGCUAAAGGGUUUUAAUCACAGAUUGGAAGGGGCCUUAAAAGACUCUCUCAUUCCAAGCCCACUGCCAUGCACAGAUCUGUGAAGUUAGUCUAACUAAAAAACCAACCAACCAAAAACCCUUCCAGUAUGGCUGCAAAGCAGCAAAAACUCCUAAAGUAAAAUAGCUACAAAAACUCUUAAAGUAGAUAUAGUAUUCAUUUCCUUUAUACACGUAAUGAAAUAUGCUACUAUAUAAAAUAUAUUUAACUUAUAGAGAGAGAUGAGGUAAAGUAAAUUAAAUAUAUUUCUUUACAAAGACUGUCAUUUCUGAACUCUAAAGGAGAAAUACAGCCAAGCAACCCCCCAGCAGAGCCCAGACUCAGGUACUCACCCCAUUUAUUUCCCACUAGCACCGGGCAGGCCGCGUGCCGCGUGCUGUAAUCGCCUUCUCCACUCGGGAAGAGAUUGUACCAGAACACAGCUGUUCCCUGGAAUGACAGGGACACUCAGCCUGUGCUCUGUACCACAGUGUCACACCAGGGAUUGUACCAGAACACAGCUGUUCCCUGGAAUGACAGGGACACUCAGCCUGUGCUCUGUACCACAGUGUCACACCAGAGAUUGUACCAGAACACAGCUGUUCCCUGGAAUGACAGGGACACUCAGCCUGUGCUCUGUACCACACACAGUGUCACACCAGGGAUUGUACCAGAACACAGCUGUUCCCUGGAAUGACAGGGACACUCAGCCUGUGCUCUGUACCACACACACUAAGGCAAAGGUAGGUGCAUUUGUGUUUCAGAUCCUUCUUUUAAACUGAAGACUCUUUUCCUUAUUCUUAGGAAUAAGUUUCCUUUAACUUAUUUUAUACUUGUCUCUUAAUUUUUUUUUCAGUUUCAUUCAAUUCCUGACCAGUUUAAGAGAGCCAAGAUGAUUUACUAAAGCUGAGCAGCAGGCCAGCAAAGGCAAACCUUGCUCGAAGGAAAAAACUGACAGGAGAAUUUCCUACAGAUGCCUCAAGACUAAGAUUUGAGUAUUUUCAAGAUGUGUUUUGGAGAAUUUAAAUGUUUUGCAUUUGCAUCCACACAUGGAAUAUCAGGGCCCUUGGAAUCGCCAACACAGCUCCAGUUGCUGCACUUAAGGAAAAUCAUAGCACUGUUGUGACAGCACAGAGGUGCUUACAGUUAUUUUAAAGGUUCAUUUGCAAGCUCUGUUCUGUGUGGGUAGGUGGGGAGGAGUGGAUUUAUCUGCUGGAUCAAUCCUGCUCACCUUUCUGGGCCAAACGCUGGCUCCCACUUCAGGGAAGACCGUGGCUCCCCCUGCUGACACAUCACUCAUCUGGACAGGUGGGGAAGGACAGGUGAGUUCAGGCUGAUAAAAUCUCACUUUUUAGUGAAAGUGCAGUUUAAUUUUGACAUAAAUCCCUUAAGAAGGCCAAACCCUCUCUGUUCCCAGUGCAGUCCCAGCCUUGCCCCUCCCACUCAAGUGUUAAGGCUGUGAACAUGCUGUAAACACUGAUGCAGAUACAUAAACAGGCAAGCAAAUAUUUAAGCUAAUGCUCAAAUCUGGGGGGAAAAAUCCUCCUUAAGACACAUGGAAGAACCACACAGUCUGGGUAAGAAGACCCCCCCAUAUGUAUUAACCCAAAGUUAGUGGCUGCUUCACUGGCAAGUCCCUUCAGUAAAAAAGAAUGAAAGAAAAGCAGAAUUAAAUCAUUCCAUGGUAUAGAAUAUGCAGUGACAGAUGGCAGAAAUGUAUCACUUACAUAAAACAACCAAGUAGCAAUUCUGUUGCCUGUUCCCAAUUCUUUAAAAGCAUCUGGCUCAUCUUUCUGUGAACAAAAGCAGGCAGAUUCCAUCAGCAUUUCUUUUUGGUUGCUGAGAGCAGCCAAUGACAGACAGCUGCUGAGCCAGCAGCACAGAACAGACUCAUGCAGAAGAAUUAAUCCAACCCCUCGAUUUGGAAGGAGGAGAGGAAUGCAAUAGGAGUGAAUCUAUCAAUUUAAAUAAACCAGGCACUUUGAAAUUCUGUAGGACAGGGAGGGAGGGCAUUAAGCCCAGAUUUCUAAUGGGUAACAACAACUGUGCUGUCUGAGGCUGAGGCUAUAAAUCCUCCUCACAGCAAACUGAAUUACUGAAUUACAGUCAUCCCCCUUGUCCUUGGCAGCAGCCAGGACAGCUCUCAGCCCCAGGCUCAGCUGGGACACCUCCCUGCCACACUCCACUCUGGAUUCCAGCUGGGAAGCAGGGAGGAAGCCUCAGUGACAAACCAGGCAACUAAGAGGUGUCCAGCACUCGACUUUACCCCAUUUUGAUGGGUUUUGACACCAACUUCUGUCACACCUCUGUUUAUAAACCCACCCCCUGUGACCACAGUUUGUGUGCACUGAAAUUCCAGCAAUUGUUCCUCCAGGAAACAACCCCAGUGUUUCCAAACAAAAUCUGUCAGUUGGUUGCAAAGCCUUAGAGCAAGUGCUUACAGAGCAGAUAUCCUGGCUCAGAACUGGUGGCUGGGACUGGCAGGGUUAAAGUUAAUCUGAAGGGGUUAAACCACACAGAAUUAUGCCCAAUAAAUAACCAACUGAAUUUCAGCAGUCUGCAAUUUAAGCUGGAAUAAAACAGGUGGGGAAUUUAAAUCUAAUUAAAAAAUUAAGGAGAGCGAGAUAAGACUUUUUCCAGUUGUCAGGAGUUUGCUGGCACUCAGCUUACAGGCAGCAACCUCCUCCAGGUUCAGCUGGUGGUUUAAAGGGCUUUCUCCAUGGACAUGGAUUAGGAAAGUGGAAGAGCUACACAAUUUAAUGCACAUGGAAGAACAGAGAGUGUGCCCCAGCCCAGAGGCCCAGGCUUCACCAGGUCUAGCUCUCCUCCAGCUCUUUACUUGCCCGUGCAAAGUCAAAGUGGGGCUCAUACUGUCCUCCCACUCCAUAAUUUGCCACCUGAAAAAGAGAAACACAGCGCUUGUGAAGAAGAAAGAGUGAAGACAAAAGAGGACUUACCCUUCCAAAAUCAAAAUGAGGCUCAUACUGGCCUCCUACGCCGUAGUUGGCUACCUACAGUGGAAGGAGAAGCACAGGAUCUAGUGAAUCAGUCUUUAUGCAGGCAAGAGUUUGGCUGUCAGCUACAGCCUUUGCAGAGAUGAAGUUUGAACACCAAGCCCCAGGAAAUGUCAAGGCUCUGUCAGCAGCAGGAGCACAUCCAGGAGUGGCACUGUGGGAUGCUCCAGGUAAGGAAUCUGGUGCUUCCCAUUUUUCUUCUACAGAAAACUUUUCAGCCUUGCUCCAAAAUGGUGUCACGGUGAUUUUACAUCAUGAAAUUGAAACCACUUUUUGACCUGAAGUUGACAGUGUCAAUAAAGAGGGUUCCUUGUCCAUCUUGCCAAUUGGUUAUAAAAAAUAGCAUCAAUUUUCUACCAGAUCCUUGCCAUUUUAUCACCAGAACCUUGACAGAGGGGCAAGGAGCACAGCAGGUUUCAGAAGUGCUUUGUGGUGUCCUGCUUUCUAGGUACUCAUGCUCUGCUCACAGUCAGGGAGGCAGCUGCUCCUUUAAAGGCCUCAAGCAAAUAAACAAAAGCACUUCCAAAUUGCAGUUUACUCAAGUUACACACACAGCCAGUUUUUCCCACAUUCCAGGGACACCAGACACACUGGUGGCCUUCCCUGACUUAACUUUUAACUGCCUCCAACAGCAGCAAAGUUUGACCCUGUGGCCAUGAAAUUCAGUUUAUUUGACUAAAUUGAAAGGAACUACACAUCUAGAGCUUCAGUUAUCACUGUUUCCUUCCAGCCCCAAGAAGCCAUUUCAUACUGAACAGCUGUUCUGCAAUGACAACUUUUUCUCCCCCUCUGUAAAUAAAUUUUUUUGUGGCCAGCACAAGAGGUGCUGAAAUGGUGACAGAGAUUCUGAAAACCACCAACCAAUGCAUUACAUGGAACAGCUGCUGUCAGAACAGCCUGUGACAAGGUGCCACUUACCUGCAGCUCCUCUGCUGUGGAGACAUCCAGCCCUGUGAGGUCCUGGAUCCGGGUGUUGAUGCGGGACACCACCGGGCUCUCGUACCCCGAGAGCCACGCGCUGGGGGGGGACAGUUAGUGACACCUGGCACCAGCAGCACAGCAGCAACAUUGCAGCUACUUGGAGUGCCACACUGGUUUUUAGGGCUUCUCAAGGAUUUGGUGGCAUGACCAGAAGUAUUUCCAGGGUGUUACAAACCCCUGAAUUUAAUGAAUGCGUUUCUCAGACCAAUUCCAGCAGGGGUUUAAGGGAGCUCUGUAACCAAGGGCCUGAAUUCCCCCCUGGGCUGAAGGAAGUGUUACAAACAGUGCUUCAAGCUGUUUUUUCAACCAGGCACACACAGUUGUGCUCUUACCCCGCUCCCAACAGCUCAUUCAGCCCCUGGGGUGAUGCAUUGUGAAGCGAGGUUUGGCACAGGAGCAGGUGAGUUACUGUUUUUGCCUGUGCAGCUGGAACUCAGCUCCCCCAAAUGUCACACACUUCCAGGCCAGCUCUCUGGGAGCUGCCCUUUCUCAUCACUUAGCCCUGCAGUGCUACUAAAAAUCAUUCAGAAAACAAUGAAAAAAUGCACUAAAUUGAACAAUUGCAGUCAGAACAGCCUGUUAUAAACCUGGUAUUUAGCACAUGCUUCAGGUACACAAUGAUUUUUAAGGAGGGGGAACCCAAACUAGGCCCCCUCCCCCCUUUUUUUUUCUAAAGUGGAAGGUCAGCCUCAGUUCCAAAGGCACCUUUCAGAAUGUUUGCCUCCUACUGUGUAUUAGUGUUUCCACAUUUGCUCACCCUGUGCCUGUUUCUGUUGCUGCUUUACUCAUCCCAUGCCAGCCACUGCACCUUCAAUUUACCCUGGCAGCCUGCACUAAUAUGGGUGAUAAUAUUGAUGAUUUGGGGCUUGUUUUCCUUUUUUUUUUUUUUUGGGCAGGAAAGUGGAGAUAGCUAUUCCUACCUUUUCUCCUAGCAGCUGACUCAGCUUUUGGGCUCAGCAGUGCUUCCUGCUGGACAGAAAUCCCUGUGCACAGAGCCCAGCUGGAAACUGUCAGCAGCAGCAUCCAUGUAUUUUUACUCAAAUGAACUUCACAUCUACACUAAAUUAACUUUUUAUUUUGAUUUGUAUUUUUUUAAAAAAUCUCAUAAAUCCCCCAAUACUUUGCCUGGGAGGAACAGUAGCAUGAACAUGACACAAGGCACUGACACAGGUUACAGAAUCUCUACGAGCAUUUUUUAAAUGGCAAAUGAACUAUGAGCUAAAAGAAAUCAGAUUUCUCAAGACAGACAUGCACAAACACAUCCCCAUCCACUGCUGACCACUUGUUAGUACCAGGAGGUGUUACAACACAACCUGCUUUGAUUUCAGGUGGCAGGAGAAUGCUAGGACAUGGAUAUGAAGCAUUCACCAAACAAAAUCCCCCAAAGCAGCCAUGCCACACAGCCAUGGUGACCAGGAGCAAUGAUUCAUCUGGAAUCUGAACCAGCUCGAGCAGCUCCAAGGGAAAGAUGUUUCUGGCAGUGCAGGAGGGCAGCAGGAACAGCACAGGCCCUCCAAAUCAGGCUGCUGGGGGUGGCUUCUGCCUCCCACCCCAGAUUUAGGGGUCAAGGUCUCUGGGGAGCUCCACACCCAUCCUGCAAAUCUGCACAUGGAAGAAAGCCAAGGCAGGGGGAAGCAGGAGAAGGGCAGCCCUGCUGCACACCUCAAGGCUAUUCCUACCCUCCAAAAAUGGCCUUCCCCAACUUCUUGGAUGUGUCCCUACAAUUUUAUUUCCAGUUUCCAGUGAGAUACUGAAUUUAAAAACAGAGUUGAGUAAAAUGUGAUUUAAUUCUGAGAGUUCCUUGGGCACACUGGAAGGGAGUCUCACAGUGCCACAUUUUUGAGCACCAAACCUCAUUAAGAAUUUAAGGAUCCCAUUCCCCAGGCUCUAUCCUGUUCUUUUUUAAUUGGCCUUUAAUGUUGGGUGGUGCCUUGUGCUAUUUUUUCUGACUGUGACAUCUGCACUACCUCAGGGAAUAACACUUCCUACUAAUGAAAAAUCACAACUUUAAAUAAAAAGUUAUUUCACUAAGCCUCAUUUAUUUAAAUAGGGACCAAUUAUGCAUCCCAAUUUCCAUCAGUAAUCUGGUCACCUUCUCCAAUUCCCAUCAUUAGCACAGCAAGUUUGACACGAGGGGAUGUUCAAAAGGAUGAAGGAGUUUCCUCAGUAAAUAUUCCAGAGCUGUCUGGCACAGAGGACAAACCCCACAAGUGAAUAAAUUAAACCUUCCAAACACACAGUGACAAAUAACCAAGAUAGGUAAGACAUGGACAGACUUGAACAUUAAAAACAAGAAAUAAAAAUUAAAUGCAACACAUGUGCAACAGGAGGAUGAAUGUUCCUAAAGUCCCUCCAUGGGGGCAAACAUGUAAGACCUUCCCAGACAAUUUCCAGAGGAUUCCCACUACCUGUAUGUGCCAGUGAGCACACAGACCCACGUGCUGCAAAGGUGUGAGGCAUAAAACAAGUUUUCCACUUGCCACUAGAGUGGCCUUAAGGACCUUGGCUCCAGUGGUUUUCCAUUUUCCUGAGACUUAUCAUCAUUCCUGAAUCAAUCACCUUCCUGUGAUCCCAUACUUGGAAGCACUUUCACCUUUCUGAAGCAUUUCACAGCUAAAUAAAAGCUCCAGGCCAUCCCAAGUUCAGGGGUUUGUCACAGCAGCUGAAGAACACUGAGCUUCUAUUCGAGCAGCAACCAUUCCAGCAUGGAAACCCCUACCAUCAUCCCUAGCUUUACUGGGCAGUGCUGCCAGGAUCACAGCAGCUCCCAGCCCUGAGCACAGUGGGCACUGAGGAGCAGAGGUGAGCAGGCAGGUGCCCCAUUGCUGGUGCCAGCAGAGCCCCAUGCCCACGGUUAGUACGUUAGUCACAGACACAAGCCAUGCUCGGCCAGAGAGGGCACUUCCACCUUGGAAUGCCACCACUGACAAGCAAUCCCUGCUUCAGCAGACCCUGUGCUUUGUUAGAUGACAGCUCAGAGCUUGCUUAGGCCACUCUCCUUGAAAGAAAGGCUGAAGAAUAAGGAAAGUUACACAGAAUCCUUGCGCUGAAGCAGCACAGCCCCAGGACACUUCCUCAGACAAGGAAUCCCCUCCCCUUACCUCUUAGAGACUCUGUAAUGUGCUGUGGUCAGUUUCCCAGUCUCAGGGUCAUGAACAGUAGCACGGCUCAGCUACAAAAAGAGAAAGGACAAGGCUUACCCACCUUGCAGGCUGCUUUUUGGCCAAGCCCCAGGUGUUUGAAAGGGUUCCGAUUGCUCCGGAUGCGAUGCUCGCAUAUUAGCAAUGGUUGGAAGGGCAACAAAGCUGCAGCUGCCAUGUCCAAAUCACAACAAAUUGGUUGCAAUAAUUUGGUUAGAUUGUCCUUUCACUUUUUUCCUCCCUUUAUUAUUUUUCUUCUUCUUUUUGUUUUUUUUUUGUUUGUUUGUUUAAAAUCAAGACUUUCUACAAGUAAUUUAUGAUGCUGAGUUUCCCAGACAAUUCCUCCUCACCCAGAAGCUUUAACUCCUCCCAGAAUUUUGGCUCAGUGCUGAUGGACUGUGCAGCCAAUCUUUAAUUACCAUGGCUAAAACCAAGGGAGGGCAAGCAGGGGCAGGUGGUUUCUUUCAGAUCCAGCCAAUUUUGGAAAGCACUGGCUAAAUUCAGCUCUUACAGUACUUAAUGGACAAGCUGAAAAGAACCAGGAGCCCGGUGGAAGUGAGCCUGUGUUCUGCCAGGUUUGUGUCAGGCAGGAGGUAAAGGAGCUCAGCUGGGAGUGUGGGAUUAUCCUGGACAAGGAGAUGUGUGUCUGUGUGCACAGCAAGGACCUGAAGCAUUUCUUACACCUAUUAAGGAAUUUUGAGGUCUGCUUCAUUUUCCAAAGAAAGGGAGGACAAUUCUUGGUUGUGAGAAGAGCAAGGGGAAAGGAACGAAUAGAUUAAAAACAAAAACCAGAUUUUACUGAAUGUUUUGUGGCAUCUUGUAUUUUUCACACUGACUGCAGAGACUCGCUUGAAAAAACAGACUUGAGAAGGCGACUAAAAGGGAAAGAACAAAUCAAAACACGCCCCCAGAACUUCCAGCUGAAGGAAAAGACUGAGAAACUCAGCAGCACCAGCCUGUUACAGAUCUGCAGGGAAUCACAAGGAGGACUGCAAGCUGUCUCUUCAGCCCACCUCUGGUUUCCUCAGAAUGAGCAGGACGUACACACUCAUGACCGGCCCAAACCUCUGGCAGAGCUCUCUUACCUUUUGCUAAUUCUGUAAUGUGCCGUCUCCAAGGCUCCCGUUAUGGGGUUUGAAAUGGUGGCUCGCCUCAGCUGUGAAGCGAACCAUCAGAAGUUGCAUUACAAGCACAAUCUGCAUCCCAGCAAUCCGACCAUUCAGAAGCCUGGCAUGGGGACAACGCCACUGCCCCCGCUGCCACCGGGGCUGCAGGGCCACGGGGAACCAGGGGAGGCUCCAGCUUGACUAAAAGAAAGGUUUCUGGUUUGGUUUUUUAAGGUUUUCCAUAAGUCCUGGGGUCCGUAAGUUCAGUGCCUGUAGCAAGAAUGGUUGUCUGAAUAAAGCAAACUAGAGCAGCUUGGAUUUCCUUUGUGGUGAAAUGCUCUGGGAGCAGCACAGUGCUGUGGCAUGGGGACAAGUGGGGCUUUGUUACACUGUCCUGCCCCUGCAGAGGAGUUUGACAGGUAAAUUCAAUCCAGGCAGCACCAUUAGCCAAAGGUGAAUAAACCAUUCCUUCUGGGUCCUUCCUGUACCACAAGCAGCACUGAGGUCCUCUGAGCUCUCCAACUUCUGCUUCACCCAUGGUCACAUUUACAGAGUGGGAACUCCUGGCUCAAGGCUUUCCUU